GGAAGGCGCCGCCCUGUGAGGGGGCGCUGCGACGCGAAGUGGAACUGUGGAAGGUCGUUGAGUUACCGGCCACAAGGACGCGGCGUGCGCGGCUUGCGGAGAGGCGGGUGGAUGUGUGAUCCAGAAGACACUGGUGGCGUCGGUCAACGGGAGGAGGACGAGUAUUCAUGACACCGUACCCACCGUGGCUGGGGGCUGGGGCAGAGAAGGAAGUGGCCGGCGGCCGGCGGCCCGGCCUGGAUGGGUCGACGACGGCGACUCGAGGGAGGGGGCAGUCUACUCGAGUCAUCCCGCACUCUUUCUCUGCUCGAGUUAACCCGGAUGGAUGGAAUUUCGUUGCAGUCUUCAUAUGCCACCAACACUUUUCACUGGCAGAGGUAAGGUAACCAUCAAUGGCUUGUCUCGGUUGGAGAAAUGGAGUGCGUGGUAUGUCUGCGAUUAUUUUCUGCAAAAUUUACUGCGAUUUACUAGUUAGAAAUCUGGAAUUGCUCUAAACAGUACAUAUUGUUCGUCUGAUAUUUGCACUGUCUGGCAACAAGUCUAUGUAUACCUAAUGUGUAUUACUGACAGUAGAUAUCAUAUAAUUGACCAUUAUUUGCAUCUUCUCCAGUACGCCGACCUUUGUCCCAUCACCUCGUGAGCAGUACUAAUUUUCUUUCUCUAGCUUAAAUAUGAACCCUUAACUUGUUAAAUGUGUGAAUUCGAGCAAUAACUGUUUGAAGCAGAAUUGUCAAUAAUAAGUUAGAUAAUAUCUGCAUUGGCAUUUAGGGUAGGACUCUUUGGUGAGCAUAAACAACAUGUUUUGGGAAUUCCCAUGUUCAACUUUAGUGGAAAUGCUUUAGAAUAAGAUGGUCUUGUGAAACUACUUUCAGUGGCUAACUUUAUCACUGUGCCGACUACAUUGACGUUGGCUUUUGCUUCUCAUGUUGAAAAUUUAGUUCAGUAAUCCUUUUGAAAGGGCUAGUUCUGUUGUUUCUGUCCUUUCUUAAGAGAGAACGUACUAAAAUAAACCAGUGUAAUAUGAUUAUGUGAAAAUUUGAUUACUCAACCUGCUUUUGAUAAUCGGAAGUUUUUGGCAUGUCAUGCUCGCAUCUUAUGGAUAUUUGUCUGUUUUGGGCAUAGAACAACAGCAGUGGAGAUAUUUAAUGUCGGAAUGCUAUAUAUCUUGUCGUAUAUAGAGGAUGUUUGUAACUCGACAACCCUUUACAGACACUUGUAUUAUUGAAGGCAUUCAUUCUCCAAACCAGAUACAUUGAUGGAACAAAAAGAGUAAGAUGCAAUUUAAAAAAAUUCUGAUCAAUACAAGUUGUGGUAUCUAAAAUAUUUCCAGCAACUGCAAAACAUUCUUCACUAAGUAACUCGAGCAUCAAACCUUGAACAAAAAGAAAAUCAACCAGGCAUUAAGGGAAACAACAAAUGAAGCCACACAUCAGUUCGUAGCUGUGGUGCAGCACAUGCAAAUGGCAAAAAGGGAUGACUUUGGCUUCUGCUUUUCUUUGCUUCUAGGAGAACUAACCGUGGUGCUGUUCUUUCGAACCGGUUCUUGUUCCUUCAAUGGCGACCACGUUCCAAUGCCGUCCUCCGUCAUUAAGCUACGAAGUGGUUUAUUGUUUCUUGCAGAGUGAUUUGGCGCUCUGAAG
rnacentral:lncRNA from 1 species